rnacentral:miRNA from 1 species
AGGUUAGUGCAAAAGUAAUUGCAGUUUUGUCAUUACUUUUAAUGGGAAAAAACUGCAAUUAGUUUUGCACCAA